GCCGCCGUGGUGGAAUGGUAGACACUACGGAUUUAAAAUCCGUUGCCCUCACAGGCGUGCCGGUUCGAGUCCGGCCGGCGGCA
rnacentral:tRNA from 1 species